AAAGCCUGUGAGACUUAACUCACAUCCUCUGAAUGCAACUCA
rnacentral:tRNA from 1 species